GACGAACGCUGGCGGCGUGCUUAACACAUGCAAGUCGAACGGAAAGGCCCCUUUGGGGGUACUCGAGUGGCGAACGGGUGAGUAACACGUGCGUAACCUGCCCUUGACUUCGGGAUAACUUCAGGAAACUGGGGCUAAUACCGGAUAGGAAUCCUUGCUGCAUGGUGGGGGUUGGAAAGCUUCGGCGGUUUUGGAUGGACUCGCGGCUUAUCAGCUUGUUGGUGGGGUAGUGGCUUACCAAGGCUUUGACGGGUAGCCGGCCUGAGAGGGCGACCGGCCACAUUGGGACUGAGAUACGGCCCAGACUCCUACGGGAGGCAGCAGUGGGGAAUAUUGCACAAUGGGCGGAAGCCUGAUGCAGCAACGCCGCGUGCGGGAUGACGGCCUUCGGGUUGUAAACCGAUUUCAGCAGGGGCGAAGCUUGUGGUGACGGUACCUGCAGAAGAAGCACCGGCUAACUACGUG
rnacentral:rRNA from 1 species